rnacentral:rRNA from 1 species
CAGUAACGGCGAGUGAAGCGGCAACAGCUCAAAUUUAAAAUCUGGCUCCGUCGGGGUCCGAAUUGUAAUUUGUAGAGAGUGCUUCGGGCGAGGCCUCGGUCUAAGUCCAUUGGAACAUGGUGUCACAGAGGGUGAGAAUCCCGUAUGCGACCGUGGCUCGAGCCGAUGUGAAGCCUCUUCGACGAGUCGAGUUGUUUGGGAAUGCAGCUCAAAAUGGGUGGUAAAUUUCAUCUAAAGCUAAAUACCGGCUGGAGACCGAUAGCGCACAAGUAGAGUGAUCGAAAGAUGAAAAGCACUUUGGAAAGAGAGUCAAACAGUACGUGAAAUUGUUGAAAGGGAAGCGCUUGCAACCAGACCUGCCCGUAGGCGAUCAGCCGCUGUUCUCAGCGGUGUACUCGCUCUGCGAUCAGGCCAGCAUCGGUUUCGGCGGUCGGAUAAAGGCCUUGGGAAUGUAGCUUCUCUUCGGGGGAGUCUUAUAGCCCUCGGCGUAAUGCGGCCAGCCGGGACCGAGGACCGCGCUUCGGCUAGGAUGCUGGCGUAAUGGUUGUAAGCGACCCGUCUUGAAACACGGACCAAGGAGUCUAACAUCUAUGCGAGUGUUUGGGUGUCAAACCCAUGCGCGGAAUGAAAGUGAACGGAGGUGAGAACUCUUAAGGGCGCAUCAUCGACCGAUCCAGAAGUCUUCGGAUGGAUUUGAGUAUGAGCAUAGCUGUUGGGACCCGAAAGAUGGUGAACUAUGCCUGAUAGGGUGAAGCCAGAGGAAACUCUGGUGGAGGCUCGCAGCGGUUCUGACGUGCAAAUCGAUCGUCAAAUUUGGGUAUAGGGGCGAAGACUAAUC